GAUGAACGCUGACAGAAUGCUUAACACAUGCAAGUCAACUGUGGCGGACGGGUGAGUAGCGCGUAAAGAACUUGCCUCACAGUUAGGGACAACAUUUGGAAACGAAUGCUAAUACCUGAUACUGUGGGAGAGCUUUGCGUCCCAUUAGCUGGUUGGAGAGGUAAGGGCUCACCAAGGCGAUGAUGGGUAGCCGGCCUGAGAGGGUGAUCGGCCACAAGGGGACAGGGACACGGCCCUUACGCAUACGGGAGGAAGGAGUGGGGGAUAGUGGACAAUGGACCAAAGUGUGAAGCAGCAAUUCGGUGUGUACGAUGAAGUUUUCGGAAUGAAAAGUGCUUUCAGUAGGGAAGCGGUACCAACAGAAGAAGCGACGGCUAAAUACGUGCCAGCAGCCGCGGUAAUAC
rnacentral:rRNA from 1 species